UUAAGCGACUAAGCGUACACGGUGGAUGCCCUGGCAGUCAGAGGCGAUGAAGGACGUGCUAAUCUGCGAUAAGCGUCGGUGAGGUGAUAUGAACCGUUAUAACCGGCGAUUUCCGAAUGGGGAAACCCAGUGUGUUUCGACACACUAUCAUUAACUGAAUCCAUAGGUUAAUGAGGCGAACCGGGGGAACUGAAACAUCUAAGUACCCCGAGGAAAAGAAAUCAACCGAGAUUCCCCCAGUAGCGGCGAGCGAACGGGGAGGAGCCCAGAGCCUGAAUCAGUGUGUGUGUUAGUGGAAGCGUCUGGAAAGGCGCGCGAUACAGGGUGACAGCCCCGUACACAAAAAUGCACAUACUGUGAGCUCGAUGAGUAGGGCGGGACACGUGGUAUCCUGUCUGAAUAUGGGGGGACCAUCCUCCAAGGCUAAAUACUCCUGACUGACCGAUAGUGAACCAGUACCGUGAGGGAAAGGCGAAAAGAACCCCGGCGAGGGGAGUGAAAAAGAACCUGAAACCGUGUACGUACAAGCAGUGGGAGCCUCUUAAUGGGGUGACUGCGUACCUUUUGUAUAAUGGGUCAGCGACUUAUAUUCUGUAGCAAGGUUAACCGAAUAGGGGAGCCGAAGGGAAACCGAGUCUUAACUGGGCGUUAAGUUGCAGGGUAUAGACCCGAAACCCGGUGAUCUAGCCAUGGGCAGGUUGAAGGUUGGGUAACACUAACUGGAGGACCGAACCGACUAAUGUUGAAAAAUUAGCGGAUGACUUGUGGCUGGGGGUGAAAGGCCAAUCAAACCGGGAGAUAGCUGGUUCUCCCCGAAAGCUAUUUAGGUAGCGCCUCGUGAAUUCAUCUCCGGGGGUAGAGCACUGUUUCGGCAAGGGGGUCAUCCCGACUUACCAACCCGAUGCAAACUGCGAAUACCGGAGAAUGUUAUCACGGGAGACACACGGCGGGUGCUAACGUCCGUCGUGAAGAGGGAAACAACCCAGACCGCCAGCUAAGGUCCCAAAGUCAUGGUUAAGUGGGAAACGAUGUGGGAAGGCCCAGACAGCCAGGAUGUUGGCUUAGAAGCAGCCAUCAUUUAAAGAAAGCGUAAUAGCUCACUGGUCGAGUCGGCCUGCGCGGAAGAUGUAACGGGGCUAAACCAUGCACCGAAGCUGCGGCAGCGACGCUUAUGCGUUGUUGGGUAGGGGAGCGUUCUGUAAGCCUGUGAAGGUGGCCUGUGAGGGUUGCUGGAGGUAUCAGAAGUGCGAAUGCUGACAUAAGUAACGAUAAAGCGGGUGAAAAGCCCGCUCGCCGGAAGACCAAGGGUUCCUGUCCAACGUUAAUCGGGGCAGGGUGAGUCGACCCCUAAGGCGAGGCCGAAAGGCGUAGUCGAUGGGAAACAGGUUAAUAUUCCUGUACUUGGUGUUACUGCGAAGGGGGGACGGAGAAGGCUAUGUUGGCCGGGCGACGGUUGUCCCGGUUUAAGCGUGUAGGCUGGUUUUCCAGGCAAAUCCGGAAAAUCAAGGCUGAGGCGUGAUGACGAGGCACUACGGUGCUGAAGCGACAAAUGCCCUGCUUCCAGGAAAAGCCUCUAAGCAUCAGGUAACAUUAAAUCGUACCCCAAACCGACACAGGUGGUCAGGUAGAGAAUACCAAGGCGCUUGAGAGAACUCGGGUGAAGGAACUAGGCAAAAUGGUGCCGUAACUUCGGGAGAAGGCACGCUGAUAUGUAGGUGAAGCGACUUGCUCGUGGAGCUGAAAUCAGUCGAAGAUACCAGCUGGCUGCAACUGUUUAUUAAAAACACAGCACUGUGCAAACACGAAAGUGGACGUAUACGGUGUGACGCCUGCCCGGUGCCGGAAGGUUAAUUGAUGGGGUUAGCGGUAACGCGAAGCUCUUGAUCGAAGCCCCGGUAAACGGCGGCCGUAACUAUAACGGUCCUAAGGUAGCGAAAUUCCUUGUCGGGUAAGUUCCGACCUGCACGAAUGGCGUAAUGAUGGCCAGGCUGUCUCCACCCGAGACUCAGUGAAAUUGAACUCGCUGUGAAGAUGCAGUGUACCCGCGGCAAGACGGAAAGACCCCGUGAACCUUUACUAUAGCUUGACACUGAACAUUGAGCCUUGAUGUGUAGGAUAGGUGGGAGGCUUUGAAGUGUGGACGCCAGUCUGCAUGGAGCCGACCUUGAAAUACCACCCUUUAAUGUUUGAUGUUCUAACGUGGGCCCCUUACCGGGGUUGCGGACAGUGUCUGGUGGGUAGUUUGACUGGGGCGGUCUCCUCCUAAAGAGUAACGGAGGAGCACGAAGGUUGGCUAAUCCUGGUCGGACAUCAGGAGGUUAGUGCAAUGGCAUAAGCCAGCUUGACUGCGAGCGUGACGGCGCGAGCAGGUGCGAAAGCAGGUCAUAGUGAUCCGGUGGUUCUGAAUGGAAGGGCCAUCGCUCAACGGAUAAAAGGUACUCCGGGGAUAACAGGCUGAUACCGCCCAAGAGUUCAUAUCGACGGCGGUGUUUGGCACCUCGAUGUCGGCUCAUCACAUCCUGGGGCUGAAGUAGGUCCCAAGGGUAUGGCUGUUCGCCAUUUAAAGUGGUACGCGAGCUGGGUUUAGAACGUCGUGAGACAGUUCGGUCCCUAUCUGCCGUGGGCGCUGGAGAACUGAGGGGGGCUGCUCCUAGUACGAGAGGACCGGAGUGGACGCAUCACUGGUGUUCGGGUUGUCAUGCCAAUGGCACUGCCCGGUAGCUAAAUGCGGAAGAGAUAAGUGCUGAAAGCAUCUAAGCACGAAACUUGCCCCGAGAUGAGUUCUCCCUGACUCCUUGAGAGUCCUGAAGGAACGUUGAAGACGACGACGUUGAUAGGCCGGGUGUGUAAGCGCAGCGAUGCGUUGAGCUAACCGGUACUAAUGAACCGUGAGGCUUAACCUU
rnacentral:rRNA from 6 species